AAGUUAAGAAAUGCCCUAAGGGAUCUCCUGUUUUUCAGACACAUUCUUCCUAACCUCCACUGUGUUGUAGUCUAACUUCCUCCUUGGUAAUCAGGAUCAGCUACCCUAGCCUACACAGGAACUCUCCUUUUGGACUUCUUUUGAGAGAGAGAGAGAGAGGCAGACAUAGACAGAAACAGAUGAGACUAGUGCAAUGCCUUUUUAAAAUCGCUGUGUUGGGAAGUGUGGAGUACUCUGUUGCCUCCAUCCAGAUUGUUGCAAAAGCUACUUUGAAGCUACUGAGAUGCCCAUGAAGUGGAGGAGAAGAAUUUCAUUUGUGCUAGAAACUGAAGGAGAGAAAUCCUGUGUGUUUUACUUAUUCUGUGGCUCAGGAAUUGAGGUGAGUGACUUGGAUAAAGGGACUCAGAAUUCUGACAAGACAGGAGUAGGUUAGAGGGAUAUUUUCUGCUUUAACUAUUGGAUUUGGGGAAUGCAAACUGCUUCUUAAUACUUCAUAUAUAAAAGACAUAGGUCAAUCAUGCAAAAUUGUAUCUUCCAUGAUCAAGGGAGCCUAACAGGAAGAUUUAAUGAUCUCUAGUUCUGAAAACUUCCAUAUGAAAACUCCAAUAUGUGGAAAGAUGGCACUCAGGAAGAGACGGGUGAGUAAAAACACAAGGGAAUGUGCUACAGAGGUCCAUUGGUGGCCACUCACAGCCUGAAAAUGUUGAUGUAUACUCUAUUAUAUUACUGGUAUACUAUAGUAUAUUACUUUCUUAGGGCAGUCAUAACAAAGUACUGCAAACUCAGUGGCUCGAACCAAUAGAAACGUGCUGUCUCAUAAUUCUGGAGGCUAGAUGUCUGGGUGUCAGCAAAGUUGUGAUCUCUCUAAAAGUUCUAGGGAAAUUCUUCCUUGCCUCUUCCUAGCUUCUAGUGAUUUGCUGGUAUUCUUUGGUGAUCUUUAACUUGUAAAUUAGAAUAGAGCCCCACCCAACUGCAGCAUGAUCUCAUCUUAACUAAGUAGAUCUGCAAUGAUCUUAUAUCCCAUGAAAUCACAUUUUCAGCUCCUAGGGAUUAGGACUUCAACAUAUUUGGGGGGAGGGGAGAGUACAUAAUUCAAUCCUUAAGAGAAAAGUUGUUUGAAAGGCACAUGAGUGAGUGUUUAAGCAGAGCUGCCAUCCCUGGAUACACUGUGUGCUGUGCUCUACUCAAGACAGUGGCAAUCAUGUAUAAUUAAAUAUGAUUGACACGUCUAUGAGUGGAAUAAGGCAUGACACAUACUACGUAAGUGAUGGCACUGUAUAUACACUGGUGAGUUUUUAAAAUGUGUUUAUUUGAGGAGCAACAAGAAAGAUAGAGAAAGAUAGAUAGAGCCCCUAUCUACUGCUUCAUUCCCCCAAUGAAUGUGGAUGGACUAGAGCAAGCUAGGAACUAGAAGCUCAUUCAAGGUUUCUCAUGUGGGUGGCAGGACCCCAAUCACUUAGCCCAUCACUUGUGCUUCCAAGGACCUGCAUUUUCAAGAAGAUAGAAUUGGGAGCCAGAAUUAGGGAUUGAACCCAGGUACUAAAAUGUGGGGUGUUUAUUAAUUUGGAAUACAGAGAGAUACAGUUAAAAAGAUCUCCCAUUCACUGGUUUACUUCCCAAAUAUCUACAGUAGCCAGCACUGAUUCAGACCAAUGCCAGGAGCACAGAAGUCAUUCUGGGUUUCCCUCAUGGGUGUCAGGGACCCAAGUAUAUGAACCAUCACCAGCUGCUUCACAGGGUAUGCAUGAGCAAGAAGCUGGAAUCGGGAGUAAACCCAGGACCUGAACCUAGACACUCUGAUGUGGGAUGUGGGCAUCCCACGUGGAAUCUUCACCACUGUAAUGAGCACUCACCUCAGCAAGUGAGUGUCUUAAUCAAUGUCGUAACCACUAUGCUAACAUGCUCAUCUGAAUUGGUAGAGCUUUAUUGCUAGCAAAAGAAUGCUUUCCCCAGAGCCCAUGCACACCUCUUCCUAAGUUACUUAUAUCAGGUUACUCUUUCAGACUGCCUCAAGGGGCUAUUCACAACCUCCAAGAGUUCUAAACUUUUGAGCUACAUAGAACUUGUCUGGGCCUGCUACCUGAAACUACAUAUACAUUGCAUAUCACUAGAGUGUUUUUAUUUUACUUCUCUACUUGGUGAUGAUCCCUGAGGUUUAAUAGAAUAUGAUAUGAGAAAACAGAUAUCAUUAGCUACAACUGUCAUUACAUAGUUGUCAUAACCUGCUAACUCUAGGUUUUUAAGACACACCAGCAAUUUUGUUUCUUGGGUUGGUUAUACUAUACUGUAAGCCAACUCUAAGGUAGAGUCAGAUAGUCCCUGAUUUUAUGUAGGUUACAACUCCCUGAUAGACAGAUGGGAGCUGAGCUCAAGAAAGUAUUCAAAGAUAGAGUCACUUAUGCUGUGCCCUCCCCUUGCCUAUGGAGACACUGGUUAUUGCCAUUGCUGCCAUUGCGGCUACUGUUGCAGUAAUCUUAGAUUGAUGAUACAAAGAUAACAGCCAAGGACAUGACCAAGUACCUUGUUAGAGUAAGGAAUUGUCAAGAUAUGGCCCUGAGAGAUCAGUCAGGAUUGUGUUGACUUCACAAAGUGGUUACUUAAACCAUUUGUCUCUUGUCAUCUCUCCAGGCCAAGAGAACACAAAAUUUUAACAACUUUCAAGUCCCAGGGGAAUUCUGCCUGUGGUACAGUUGAGUAGAGAGGCCAAAGGUUUAGGUUUUCAGGGAAAAGGAAGACACCUUGUGGCCUAUGUCUCAACAAAGAAAGGUAAAAACAUUCUCUCAAGAACCAGGCCAUUAUUGCAAAGCUGUAAAUGUCAGGCCUGAGAAGAAAAAGAGUAUUCGGUGCACCCUAAACCUGUCUCUUCUGGGAGAUCACUCCAGGAAGGCUUAUUCCUGAAAAUGAGUUGGAAAUUUCAACUGAGGACCAGGUUGGAGAAGUAGAAAAUUCAGCAUGUUUGACAGUGUACAGCAGACCUGUCCAUAAUGAUAUUAUCCAUAAGAUGAAAGUGUUUCCUCCUUGGGCACCGGCCUCUUCCUCGCCUGCCUGCCUGCGGGUGCCUUGAGUGCAGGGCUGUGCUGGUUUUCAGCGUUGGCAAGGGGCAUCUGGGUGAUGAUUCCUAAAUAUUGGGGCCCUGAGUCAAAUCCCUGGGAACAACACAGGCCCCGCUACGGGACGCAGGUGUACCUGUUGUCUCACUCGGGGCCGGGCUGUGACGGUCCUUAGAGACGUGACAGAGGCCACGGGGGGCCGUUCGCAGCGUGUAGACAGACUGACCUCUGAUCUGUGCCAGCUCCUAAGAAAGACCUGCCACGGCACAUCAGAGAUGCAAAUGCAGUCUUCGGGCAUUGUGGGACUGGACAAUACUUGCAUUAUCCCCAAAGGCCCAAAGUGAGGGACAGCAAACGUGCCCGGGGGUAGACCCCGCACCACACCGAGAAUUCCCGAGGGACAGGGGAGGUGCACACAGGAAGCACUCGCGGGAGGAGCUCGCACCGUGAGUCGCAAUGGCAAAGGGCGCUACGUGGGCCAGGAUGUUGUGUGCGUGCUACCUGCAAGGCACAGAGGCACCCGGGGCUGGGGAGAGGAAUGGCUCUCAGCCACCGGGACAAGCGGGCGCCUCCAUCCCUAGGGCCCCAGAAGCAGCGGCAGCCUUUCUUGCCUCCAGUGCCAUCUUCAUGCUCUGCGCACUGCCCCUCGGGUCUGAGACGGGGAUUCUGGCGGGAGACGCGGCCCGUAUGGGACAGAGAACGCGAGGACCUACACCCGGAACCAACAAAAUUCACUGAGAGGGCGUGCCCGAGGAGCCCGGCACAGUGUCCACACACGUGCUGGGGCUUCACAGCCUUUCCAGCUCGGAGCAGCUCACGUGGUCUGCAGCCUGAUUACCUGCUGGAGCUCUGGAGACACCGGCUUCUCCACCCGGGAGGCCGAGCCUCCUGUCAGUCUCCCAGGCCACCAGAUGGCUCCCCGCGCACCAUUUGGGGAAGCUGAGGAUGAGAAGUGCCCACCUCCCCGACCUGGGACCCAACAAGUUGUCUGUGGGACACGAAAGGCUCCCCCUCUGCUGGUCCUCUGCUCCUGCUCCCGGUCCUCAGGAGGCAACAACCCAGGGGCGGAGGGAACACAGACAGUGGUGGCCCUGGGCUGCCGCUGCCUGGCUGGCUGUCUAGAGCAGGCGGUCUAAGCUGGGAAGGGCUUAGCGCCCACGCGGGACGAAGGACGGGGGCAGGCGCAUGUUGCACAGGGCUGGGUGUGUGAGGGUCAGCAGAGCCGGUCCCUGUCCCUGGGUCCCACCUGAACUCCAUGAGCCUGCCUUGGCAGGCAGUGCUGAGGUGUCUAAGCUCUGUAGAAGGGUGUGCAGAGCACUUACCCAGGAACCUCCCCGCCUCCCCUAAGGAAAGUCCCCUGGAUCCGGAAGCCCGGGGUACCCACUGCAGUCCCGGAAUAAAUCUGCUUCACUCAGCCAAGACACAAAGGGCUGGUGACCGCUA